rnacentral:rRNA from 1 species
UUAUGGCUCAGGAUGAACGCUAGCUACAGGCUUAACACAUGCAAGUCGAGGGGCAGCAUGAGAUCAGCUUGCUGAUCUGAUGGCGACCGGCGCACGGGUGAGUAACGCGUAUCCAACCUUCCCCCUACUCAGGCAUAGCCCGGUGAAAACCGGAUUAACUCCUGAUAGUUUCACUAGAUGGCAUCUGACGGUGAAUAAAGCUUAGCGGUAAGGGAUGGGGAUGCGUCUGAUUAGCUUGUUGGCGGGUAACGGCCCACCAAGGCGACGAUCAGUAGGGGUUCUGAGAGGAAGGUCCCCCACAUUGGAACUGAGACACGGUCCAAACUCCUACGGGAGGCAGCAGUGAGGAAUAUUGGUCAAUGGGCGCGAGCCUGAACCAGCCAAGUAGCGUGCCAGGAAGACGGCCCUAUGGGUUGUAAACUGCUUUUGUGCGGGAAUAAAGUCAGGGACGUGUCCCUGUUUGCAUGUACCGCAAGAAUAAGGACCGGCUAAUUCCGUGCCAGCAGCCGC